CCUCCGCGCGCAGGCGCGCUACCGUCGCGCGCACCGGCUGACGUGGCGGCGGGUGCAGUAUGUGCGCGCCGGUUCCUCCUCCGGCCUCCGCCGGGAAACGUUAGGGAGGAGGUUUUCAGACCGCUCGCCCCUCACUCCUCGAGCGCGAAACGGGAGCAUCUACCUAUCUACGUGAGGCUCUCAAUCUACUUAAGCCCCGGCAUGCAAAUACUAAAGAAGAAACAAUAAUGCUCUUCUCCCAAAGCUCCUAAUUGCACUGGUCUUGAACCUCCCGCUGUACUGAAGUUCAUUUGUGCCUUUCUGAGAUAUGGGACGCCCCCAGCCAAAAACCAGCUAGUGCACGGAGGCCUCCCUCCCACGACUGCAAGGAACUGAAUUCCAUCAACAACUUGGAUGAGCUUGGAGGGAAAUUCUUCUGCAGAGCCUCCAGAGAGGAAUACAGCCUUGCCAUCCCAGGACUUCAGCCUGACAAGGGCCUGAGCAGAGGCCCAGUCAUUACAUGCUUGGACCUCUGGUCUAUAGAACUGCACGGUGAUAAAUGGGUGUUGUGUGAAGCCAGUAAGUUUGUGGCAACUUGUUACACAACAAUAGAAAACUAAUACAGAGACCUUAACAAAUUUUCUCCAUAUUAACUUCUAGAAAAAGAAGAAAGAAACACAAAUGGAGUCUAACAUUCUAAAGUGACUUUGCUUUGCAUGAAAUGAAAACAAAGGUACAGCUCAGUAGAAGAAAAGGGCAAGACUGUGUAAGGUUUAACUUUACAAAUUCAGACUGUCCAAGCAAAAGCCCUUUAGAAGGAAUCUGAGACUAUGAACGUGUUACAGUACUCUACACUGGUGUUUUUAGAACUAGGGGUUAAGUUUCAUUUCCUAGGGAAUUUAGAAUUAUAAAUACACCUCAGUUCAUCCAAUAAGCAUGCCAGAUUUGGAGCCAGUUGGCUUCAUUUGGAGCCAAAUGGCUCCCAGCUUUGCCAUUUAUUAGCACUAUGAUAUUGGGCAAGUAAUCUCUCUGAGCUUCCAUUUUCUCACCUGUGAAAUAUGCAUGAGUCGGGCAAGGUUUGAAGGAGAUACGACCCCGAGCACCCUUCACACUGUCCUUGAUACAAGCUCUCAAGAAGUCUUUUUCAUACAUGGACAUGUAAGAGAGACCAAAUAAUCAAUGCAUGAAAUAUUCACAGCCUCUUUCUGCCCUCUCAACUGCUAACAUCAUCUACCGACUAGUGGGCAUUUCCCCCUGUGUUCCUCCCCUUUUUUCCCACUUAUACCUUCUUAAAUACAUAAGGUAAUCAGUUGGGAGGACAGCUGGAAAAGUCAGGUGGGAGAAUCAAGUAGGAAAGGGCUGAGAUGAGAGAGAAAAAUAGAGGGGUAGGGGAAAAAGGCUAACGGGGAAGAAAAGGAAAGAGGAGAGAGGAGAUAACAACAAGAAGAGCUUUUUGUAAGAGGAGGAGGGAGAUUUCAGAACCCGUGCCACUGAAUGGGAGUGAUGGUUCACAAAAACCCGGAGGGAGUCCACACCAAUGUGAACAAACGAUUGGAUAAGUAAAUAAAUGGGAGAGAAUAGACACAUUUCCCAGGAAGAAGAAUUCAAAUAGUUUGUGUAGACGCUUUGCCUUGGAGGAGGUGCAGCAUAACUCCCCACUCCUUCAGCGUGGGCCGUGCACAGUGACUGGUAGCCAAAGCAGAAAGCAUAGAAAGGAGGAAGGAGAGUAACUUUACAGGAGAGAAACCUGGCAAACACUGCCUCAGCCAGGUGAUGAAGGUUAAUACCUCCAUGUACCCUUGAUAUGAUGUGAUGACAGGAGCACUUCUGUGGUCUUCCUCCCCACAACGCAUGAACCAGUCUAAUCAUGAGCAAAACCAUCAGACAAAAACAAAUUGAAGGGCGGUCCAUGGAAGUCCUGGCCAGCAUACUUCAAAACUGCCAGGAUCAUCAAAAGCAAGGGAGGUCUGAGAAACUGUCACAGCCAAAAGGAGCCUAAGGAAACAUGUUGACUAAAUAUAGUGUCAUCCUAAAUAGGAUCCUGGAACAGAACCCAGAAAAUAAGUAAAAAGCUAAGGAAAAAAAAUAUGGACUUUAGUUACUAAUGUGUCAGUAUUGGUUCAUUAGUUGUGACAAACGUAUCUUACUGAUGUAAGAUGUUAACAAAAGAGGAAAAUGGUUGGGGUGUAUGGUAGGUAACUUUAGAUACUAUCUUUGUAACUUUUCUGUAAAUCUAAGACUAUUCUAAAAUAAGAUAUUUAUCCCAGACUUUGGCACCAAAAAAAUAAAAAAAAAUUUAAAAUGAUAAAAGAAAAAUAAAAUAUCUAUUUAUAAAAUAGGGGAAAGGGAUUUUAAGACAUAUCACUGUAGGUAAUAAAUUAUAUCAUCUUUAAUAUUCUUUGAAAAAUGCAAAUACAGGGGCACCUGGGUGGCUCAGUCGGUUGAGCGUCCGACUUCGGCUCAGAUCAUGAUCUUACGGCUGGUGAGUUCGAGCCCCGCGUCGAGCUCUGUGCUGACAGCUCAGAGCCUAGAGCCUGCUUCGGAUUCUGUGCCUCCCUCUCACUCUGCCCUAACCCACUCGCAUUCUGUCUCUGUCUCAAAAAUAAAUAAACAUUUUUAAAAAUUUAAAAAAAAAGAAAAAUGCAAAUACAGAUCAGAAUUUAUCUCAUUUACAUUUUCAUGCUGAUCUGUUUCUUUUAAUACAACACAGUUUGAAAGCUAGGCUUUUUGGGGCCUGGGAUCUACUCAGGUUCCAAUAUCAGCACCCUAAAACUAUGGAUGGAGAACAUAAGAAGGAUGACUUUCCCUUGGGAAUGUUCUGAAAGCCUCACAUAAUCUGGAAGCCAGUUAACCAUCAGCAAAGAGUGUCAAGGCAUUUGACUAAAGCCCCUUUCAGAGGUGACUUCUUGGGCCCCAAGCAAGCCUGGAAUCCCUGAAAAGAGCUGACAUCCCGACAUAUGCCUAACCUCUUAUUAAAUACAAGUAAGGAAAAACGAUGAAACGAAAAGCCACAUUUGGCUCACAGGGAUCUGGGAAUUGGAACAUCUAUAGAAGAUGUUGGGGUGCCUUACCUACAUGCCCAGGGAGUUGGGGCAUUUCCAAAUCCAUAUUAGUGCCAAUAACAUCUUAACUCUUUUCCCAGGGAGCAAAGAGCAAGCAGGCUGUGCAAAUAAGACAUAGCAGGCCUCAGCCAGCUAUCCUUAGAAAAGCCUACUGAUAAGGUAGGCCCCUGGCUGGUAUCUGUGAACUUGGAUUUCGGGAGUGCUCCCACCAUUCCUGGAAUUGAUAAGAAUGACUAUCUAGACUCCUUGCACAAACAGUGGGGUUCAUGCUGAAUACCUGCUUCCUUCUGAGAGACUGGAAUUUGGGUACUUGCUCGGCAGAAGCUGCCACCUGACUGUCCCCCAAUAAAAACCUGCCUGUCUCUAACGAGCUUCCCUCUUCAAUAAUAUUUCACUUGUGUUGUUACAACUUGUUGCUGGAGGAAUGAAACGUGUCCUGUGUGACUCCACUAGGAGAGGACUUUUAGAAGCUUGGGCCUACGGGCCUACUGGCCUACUUUCCUUCGGAAAUCACCCCCAUGUGCCUUUUCCCCUUGCUGAUGAAUCCUAGCCAUGAGCACAGCUGUGUGCUGAAUCCUGCGGGGGCCCCCUAAGAAAUCAUUGGGUCUGGGAGUGAUCUAUAAUAUUAAC